rnacentral:rRNA from 1 species
CCCUGAACUUCCACCAAGCACUUCGUCGCGGUGCCGACGGAGUUCAAGCUCGGGAACAACACCGGCUGCUCCUGGAAGGUGAUGGUCAAGCUGAUGAACGGCAGGGUGACCCUUGAUCAGGGUUGGGCCACCUACGUAGCCGUUCAUCAGAUCAAGAUCGGCUACAUGGUGACGUUUAAGCUCCUCACUCCUGACACCCUCAAGGUCAUUAUCUUCGACGACGAUGGCAUUGAGGUCGUCAACAAGUGCGGGAAGCACGACGAAGCCUUCGCCGCCAAGGAGUAG